CCCGACGUGAAAGGCGCUAUACAAAUAAAGGGAUCCUCUCAGAAACCAGUGAAGCAAAUAACAUACAGUGCUGUGGUAGAUUACAAUCCAAUGACGCACUAAAUCAACCACUAGGUGAUGACGUGAAUCCAAAAGAAAAGCCUAACAAAGAGGAUGCAAUAGUGAACUACGAUUCCCAGAAGAUCUCGAAUGGUUGUGGUUUCUCUCUCUCUCUCUCUCUCUC